CCAGAAUGGGGGAGAGCCUGCUAGGAGUGUGAACAGGAUCACCCCACAGGCCCAGCUAAGGAGGGAAGAAGACCAGGUUCAGGAUUGGGAAAUGAAAUGGGAGAGAGAACAACAAUCAAGCAACCAGAGACUCACAGGUGUUUCCCAGCGAUGACCUUCAUCAGGUCUUUGGCCCUUUCCCAAUCAAGAUUCAGCUACCUAGGAUGACUGAAUCCCCUUACCUCGAAGUUUCUCGCCAGGUUCCAAGUGGCAGGAAAAACCAAAAUCAGAAAGUCGAAUCUGCAAAUUGUCAUCUAGGAGAAUAUUCUCAGGCUUCAAGUCCCGGUGCACAAUGUUGUUGGCAUGAAGAAAGCGCACGGCCUCCAGGAGAGACCGCAUGAUAGACCUGGGGGGAGAGCCUUCUCUGCAGCCCUAGAGCCAGCAUCUUUUAAGCCCAGCAGUUCUUUCCCCAUUCCCUGCUUCUUUGUGGGGACACAGAAAACCUUUUUCCCUUCUCAAUUUCCUCCUUCUCUGGGCACCAGAGCGUUUUGCCCUUCUUUUCCCUUUUCCCUUUGGAUUUUAUCCCCUCUGUCUCCUUAUUACCUGGCUUCCUUCUCUGUGAGAGCAACCUUCUCUGUGAGGUAGUCAAACAACUCCCCUUUCCGCAUCCUAAAAAGGUGAAAGAGAUUAAUGGGAAUAUAAUGCAGUCUUGUCCUCAAAUUUAGUUCAAUUAAACAAAUACUCAUUAAAUGCCUAAUAUAUGCAAAGA